rnacentral:tRNA from 1 species
UUGUGGUGCUGAUUUGGACUUCAAAUCCGCCUUGGUCCAAGAGGUCAUGGAGG